rnacentral:rRNA from 1 species
GAUGAACGCUGGCGGCGUGCCUAAUACAUGCAAGUCGAGCGAACAGACGAGGAGCUUGCUCCUCUGACGUUAGCGGCGGACGGGUGAGUAACACGUGGAUAACCUACCUAUAAGACUGGGAUAACUUCGGGAAACCGGAGCUAAUACCGGAUAAUAUAUUGAACCGCAUGGUUCAAUAGUGAAAGACGGUUUUGCUGUCACUUAUAGAUGGAUCCGCGCCGCAUUAGCUAGUUGGUAAGGUAACGGCUUACCAAGGCGACGAUGCGUAGCCGACCUGAGAGGGUGGUCGGCCACACUGGAACUGAGACACGGUCCAGACUCCUACGGGAGGCAGCAGUAGGGAGUCUUCCGCAAUGGGCGAAAGCCUGACGGAGCAACGCCGCGUGAGUGAUGAAGGUCUUCGGAUCGUAAAACUCUGUUAUUAGGGAAGAACAAAUGUGUAAGUAACUAUGCACGUCUUGACGGUACCUAAUCAGAAAGCCACGGCUAACUACGUG